rnacentral:tRNA from 1 species
GGUCCCGUAGCUCAGCCGGUUAGAGCUCCCGACUCAUAAUCGGAGGGUCCUGGGUUCGAGUCCCAGCGGGACCA